rnacentral:lncRNA from 1 species
GGGGUGGGUCAUUGCCGCUCCAGCACCGACAGGAACUUGCGGAUGUCCUGGGCGAGCAGCUCCGGCUCCUCAAAGGCCGCAAAGUGGCCCCCACGAACCAUGUAGGAAUAGGAGAUGAGCUUUGGGUACUUGAACCUCACCCACUUUUCAGGCGUGUGCAAUAGCUCAAAAGGGAAGGCAGAGAAGCCAGUGGGCACAUAGACCUUCAUCCUGGAAGUGAAAGAGCCGACGGAGGGGUGAGGCUGUGGCCCUGCGCCCCUCCGUCCUGCACAGCAGGGGGUUAAAGCGCCUGGGGGUGAGAUCAGCUGGCCCACCCACAAGGAGCCAUAAAGAAAAGGACAAAUCCAGGGUCUCAACCGCUCUCCCCUCACUGAGGGCCUUCUCUUUUCUGGGAGGGCCACCCAGGCAGGGGCAUGGGACAGCCUCUAAAUCCCCACCUUUGAGGGUUUCCAUGUGAGACUUGGAAAUCCCAGAACCAUCAGUGCCACUCCAGACCAGCAUCCUAGACUGGGGAGCGGUACUGAGGGCCGCCCGGGAGCCAGGCACCUGGUCCCUCCAUGAGGGCUUUCUCCAAACACCUCGACCUUUAGUGUUCCCAUCCAAGGGCCCCUGGGGCACCUGCAGGCAAGGCUAUACUUAUCCCACCACCAAGUGCCCUUCGUGGAGCCCAAGACUGGCCGUCCCCCUGCCUCCAGCCUCAGAGGCCCCUGUUCUCGGCUCAGCCAGGCUCACCGCUCAUGCUUCUGGGUCAUCCAGCCCUGUCCCAGGUUCUCCUUGUAGAAGCGCUGGGAGGAGAUGAUGGUGCCUGUUGUCCAGUAGAGCAUGACGUUGGUCAGCAGGUCGUCCAGGGAGAACUUCCUGGGAACGCAGAACACAAAGCCCCACUCUCAGUGCCACAUGCAGUUGUGUGACAAAGGGCAGCCAGAAAGUCCUACAAAUGCCAGGCCCUGCCCAUGCGGCUUCCCUCCUCAGACCUCAUGCAACGUGUGUGGUAUCCUCGUGUCACAGGCAGGCUGCGCCCAGGGCACUAGACUGGAGCGCAUGGAUUUAGUUGAAGUGUCUCUUAUCACCCCAAGGUCCUCCCCCCACCCACCUUGCCUCUACACACCUGUCCCCUCUCUCCUGCCACUGACCUCUCCUCCCUCCCCUCAACCCCUGCACCGUGAAACUGCUCAGGGCACCAGCUACUGUGGUGACCACAUACCAGGCAGCAUGUUCUAAGCUCCUUACCUUCUUUUAAUUCAUGUUUUCCUCUCAACAGCCUAUGGGACAUAGGUACUAUUAUCUCCAUUUUACUUAUUAAGUGGAGAAUCCAAACCUAGCCAGCUUGGGUCCAGGAUGCAUACUCCACAGCCCCCACCCCACCUUCCACUUUCCCCAGAGCACGCCCUCCCAACCCUACCUUCCUCACUCAAACCCUGAAUCUCUAGCAACAGCAGCAGGGAGCAGGGACAGAGAUAAAGGGAACAGCCUUUUCAAUGUGAUUUUGGUGGCAAAAUGAAAACUGGUCAAUGAAAACUAGUUCCAGUAUACACAUCACCUCUGUGAACUGGAUUUCUGCAAGUUGGCCAAGUGCUUCCAUCUCCCUUUCAGCUCUGCCCGCAGCUUGAAAACGACCACGACCACCAUUUCCACCCUAGUGUAUUCCUGUUCUUUCUAGAACACAGAUCUGAUCCUGUCUACCUCCUGCUCAGGGAUUUGGUGCUCCCUGUAACCCGGGGCCAGAGCUGCAGGAGUGGCCUAGUGGGAUAGUCUGGUGGGGCCUCACAUCUUGCUCCAGGUAUCCGUGUGCAAGGAGCAGGCCAGACCCCCUGCCAAGGUGGUCUUGCAGAAGCUCCAUCAACCCCUGUGUCCUGCUGAAUGUAGGGCAGGGGAAACAGAUCCCAGACGAAGGCCCUGCUGAGGCUCUUGGAGGAGGUGAGGACCUGCCUGCAGGAAUGAGUUUGCUUUUGAUCUGGCCCCAGUGUACCUGCUUCAGCCUCUGGACAAGCCACCCUUUCCAAGCACCCUUUCCUUGCAUUUUUAUUGCUUUUCUCUUUGCCUAAGUUUCUCUCCUCCAUCCAGCAAACUCCUACUUAUCCUCCAAGGCCCAAAUCAGAUACAUUCUCCUGGUCAUUUCCCCUCUCUGCCGCUUAGACAAAGAAUCCUCCUUCCACUGGACUCUCACAGUCCUUUGCGCAUUCAUUCAACAUCUAUGUACUGGGCUCUCCCACUGUUCACCCGGCAUUGUUCUAGGUGAUGGGGCUACAGCAUGGCCAAGACAGAGUCCCUACCCCCAAGGCAGGAUUCAGUCUCAUUUUACUGUCUUUCCCAUCCCCAGCACUGUCUGGUCCUGUGUGUCACUGAAGGAAUAAAGGGAUGGGCCCUGGAAAGGGUGGGUCAGAGCUGACCUUGGUGAAGCCUGAGUCAGGCCACAGAGCUGGGAGUCAGGCAUGUAGAGGAUACAGCCUCUAAGGCUCUGAGAGAUUAACAGCCUCCUGUCUUUCUGCGACCACCCUCCUGGAACACGCAGUCACGUGACCCUGAUGCCAGGCUCUCCAGGGAAUCAGGAGGAAAAGCCCAGGUGCUCUUGACAAUAAUGUGGUGCCUGCUGCCCUGUGGGCUCCCUAAUCCCCAGAGGGGCCUGUUCAGCAAAAGGAGCACAAGCAGGUGAGCCUGCAUCCUAGUCUUGACCAUGCACUGUGAGGCUGGGAACAACCCACCAGGCCACCUCACCCAAAAAAUGCAGCUACGUUGGUCACAGGGUGAGGAUUUGUAAGAAAGCCAACAAUAGAAUUUGCUGAGUGCCCCAUGCAGAGCAACCAGACAAGGGGAUGAAGAGGGUGAGGAGGUUGGCUGCUGGGACCAGGGUCAUGACUGCAGGGGCAAACCAGGGCCUCACCUUUCCAGGCCUCCAUCCUCCAGGUAUCGGAAUUCCGUAUUGGUCCAGGUGGAAAACUUCUCUAGAAUAUAGGCAGCCAGACCCACAGGAGAGUCAUUCAGAGCAGAGCCUGGCGGGGAGCGGGGAGCAAGGGAGAGACUCAGGCCUGGGGACCAGAGAGCUGGAGCUUCAGGUGUGAUGUGUGGCACUGGCCGCAGAGGGCGGGGCUGUGUGCAGGAAGCCACGUUCGAGCACAGGCCUGCCUUAACUCCUGGGUGCUCACAUGCCUCGCUUCCUUAACUCUGCCUCGGCAUCCUCAUCUGAUAAACAGGGACGAUACCUUCCCACUGUCUCCCAGGGCCUGGCACACUGCCUGCUCAGCUUCCUUCAAACUGAAGGGCCUACGCCUCUGCAUUUGGUGGGGUCCCAAUGAGAAGUGCUGUUUUUAAAAAGGCGGGGUUUUUCAGUCUAUGUGCUCUGAUUCAUGAAAAAUGAGAAGCCACCUAAAAAAGUCUAAAAUAGGGGAUCAGUUACAAAUAUUGAUAUACUCAUAAGCCAAAAUACUGUACAGUCAUUAAAAAUGGCUGGAACAGGCUGGGGGCAUUGGCUCAUGCCUGUAAUCCCAGCACUUUGGGAGGGUGAGAAAGGUGGAUCACCUGCGGUAAGGAGUUCGAGACUAUCCUGGCUGACAUGGUGAAACCCCAUCUCUAUUAAAAAUACAAAAAAAUUAGCAGGGCAUGGUGGUGCAUGCCUGUAAUCCCAGCUACUUGGGAGGCUGAGGCAGGCAAAUUGCUUGAACCCGGGAGGUGGAGGUUGCAGUGAGCCGAGAUCGUACCACUGCACUCUAGCCUGGGCAACAGAGCAAGACUCUGUCUCAAAAAAAAAAAAAAAAAAA